CUCAAUUAUAUUACUUCCAAACUUAUUAGAAUUCGAUUAAAAGGGUUAACUUAAUAGAGUCGAAAAAUAAAAUUACUGAUAUCUAAAAAGAAGAGUAAAAUUGUGAGAUAUGGAGAAAAUACACAAUACAGAUGUGCAUUGCAGAGAUUCAUAAGAAUAAGAAAAGGUAACCUGCGGGAGUCUUCAAAGUGCGCCGUUGAAUAGCGUAUUUUAAAAUCAAGACGCAAAAGAGUAACGUUGGAAAAGUACUUCGACAACGGCGACGGCUGUUGGUGACGGUAUGCACCAGCCACCGAUGAACGAACCGCUGUCGGUCGGCGGCGGCAGUGACGACACCGGCGAAAGAGGGAGGAGGUUAUGGUAUAGAAUGAGAGAUCGGUAUCGAUUCGAUGCCGCAUCACCUACUCCGUACGUUCAUCGCUGCCACCCACCAGUAAUAGCUCGGUUCCGUCGCGCCGUCGUCGUAUGCGAAUAAUCCAGAGGGUUAAACACCCUCGACUCAACUCACAUGUACCGAGUUAGAUAAUAUCAUUAGUCUGAUUAAUCAUAAACAAGUAUAUUGAGCAUUAAAGAUUCAAAUUUAAAUCCUUAAAACUCGUAUUUUCGCCUAUAAAUAUAAUAACGUUACCUAAACAAUAUUAAUAUUGUCGCAACAGACUUGUGUUUAAAUCAUAAAAUACGCCAGUAGAAAUUUGCACAAUGAUGUCAAGGUAUUAAAAUGUCGCGCACUUACAGAUAGUAAAAAACCAACUCGCAAUUAUGCGGAGCGACUAGGCUCAAGGGCAAAAUCCAUUACUACAGCUGAUAAAAGUCUAUAUUUCAGAACCACAAUACAUCAUGAAAUUAAAUACAUACGUUCUUAGUAUUUGUUCAUAUACGACAAUUUUUUUUGUAAAUCAUUCAACAAAUACAAUCUUAUACCGUACACUGUCGUGUAAAAUUGCUCAACAAGAGAGGAAAAUGGGAGUGAAGAGUACAAGUUUGUAACAAUAUUACAACUAAUAGUUUACAAUCUGACAUCUAAAUACACAAAUGCAAAAAUGAACACUUCGAAUGUACUUAAAAAUGAUUCUA